rnacentral:rRNA from 2 species
CCCUAGUAACGGCGAGUGAAGCGGCAACAGCUCAAAUUUGAAAUCUGGCUUCGGCCCGAGUUGUAAUUUGCAGAGGAUGUUUCUGGCGCGGUGCCUUCCGAGUUCCCUGGAACGGGACGCCACAGAGGGUGAGAGCCCCGUAUGGUUGGACACCAAGCCUGUGUGAAACUCCUUCGACGAGUCGAGUAGUUUGGGAAUGCUGCUCAAAAUGGGAGGUAAAUCUCUUCUAAAGCUAAAUACCGGCCAGAGACCGAUAGCGCACAAGUAGAGUGAUCGAAAGAUGAAAAGCACCUUGAAAAGGGGGUUAAACAGUACGUGAAAUUGUUGAAAGGGAAGCGCUUGUGACCAGACUUGCGCCGGGCGGUUCAUCCGGGGUUCUCCCCGGUGCACUCCGCCCGGCUCAGGCCAGCAUCGGUUCUCGUUGGGGGAUAAGAACGGCAGGAACGUGGCCCUCCUUCGGGUGGGUGUUAUAGCCUGCCGUACGAUACCCUGACGGGGACCGAGGUUCGCGCUCCGCAAGGAUGCUGGCGUAAUGGUCAUCAGCGACCCGUCUUGAAACACGGACCAAGGAGUCGUCCAUUAGAGCGAGCGUUUGGGUGUCAAACCCGCACGCGUAAUGAAAGUGAAAUUAGGUGAGAGCUUCGGCGCAUCAUCGACCGAUCCUGAUGUUCUCGGAUGGAUUUGAGUAAGAGUUUUAACGGACGGACCCGAAAGACAGUGAACUAUGCUUGUAUAGGGUGAAGCCAGAGGAAACUCUGGUGGAGGCUCGCAGCGGUUCUGACGUGCAAAUCGAUCGUCAAAUAUGAGCAUGGGGGCGAAAGACUAAUCGAACUGU